rnacentral:rRNA from 1 species
AAUAGAUACCCCGGUAGUCCUGGCAGUAAACGGUGCACGUUUGGUGUGGGCGGGUUCAGACCCCGUCCGUGCCGGAGCUAACGCGUUAAACGUGCCGCCUGGGAAGUACGGUCGCAAGAUUAAAACUCAAAGAAAUUGACGGGGGCCCGCACAAGCGGUGGAGUAUGUGGCUUAAUUCGAUGCAACGCGAAGAACCUUACCUGGUCUUGACAUGCAUUGUGUCUCCGGUGAAAGCCGAAUAGUUGGUAGCAAUAUCAACGCUUUGCACAGGUGCUGCAUGGCUGUCGUCAACUCGUGUCGUGAGAUGUUGGGUUAAGUCCCGCAACGAGCGCAACCCCUGUGUCCUGUUGCCCGCAAGGGAUCUCUGGACAGACUGCCCUGUGAAACGGGGAGGAAGGUGGGGAUGACGUCAAGUCAGUAUGGCCCUUACGGCCAGGGUCUGCACACGUACUACAAUGCUCAGUACAGAAUCGAACCGAACCGCGAGGCGGAGGAAAUCUACUAAAACGUGAGCCCAGUUCGGAUUGGAGU